rnacentral:rRNA from 1 species
AGUUUGAUCCUGGCUCAGAUUGAACGCUGGCGGCAGGCCUAACACAUGCAAGUCGAGCGGUAGCACAGAGAGCUUGCUCUCGGGUGACGAGCGGCGGACGGGUGAGUAAUGUCUGGGAAACUGCCUGAUGGAGGGGGAUAACUACUGGAAACGGUAGCUAAUACCGCAUAAUGUCGCAAGACCAAAGUGGGGGACCUUCGGGCCUCAUGCCAUCAGAUGUGCCCAGAUGGGAUUAGCUAGUAGGUGGGGUAACGGCUCACCUAGGCGACGAUCCCUAGCUGGUCUGAGAGGAUGACCAGCCACACUGGAACUGAGACACGGUCCAGACUCCUACGGGAGGCAGCAGUGGGGAAUAUUGCACAAUGGGCGCAAGCCUGAUGCAGCCAUGCCGCGUGUGUGAAGAAGGCCUUCGGGUUGUAAAGCACUUUCAGCGGGGAGGAAGGCGUUAAGGUUAAUAACCUUGGCGAUUGACGUUACCCGCAGAAGAAGCACCGGCUAACUCCGUGCCAGCAGCCGCGGUAAUACGGAGGGUGCAAGCGUUAAUCGGAAUUACUGGGCGUAAAGCGCACGCAGGCGGUCUGUCAAGUCGGAUGUGAAAUCCCCGGGCUCAACCUGGGAACUGCAUUCGAAACUGGCAGGCUAGAGUCUUGUAGAGGGGGGUAGAAUUCCAGGUGUAGCGGUGAAAUGCGUAGAGAUCUGGAGGAAUACCGGUGGCGAAGGCGGCCCCCUGGACAAAGACUGACGCUCAGGUGCGAAAGCGUGGGGAGCAAACAGGAUUAGAUACCCUGGUAGUCCACGCCGUAAACGAUGUCGAUUUGGAGGUUGUGCCCUUGAGGCGUGGCUUCCGGAGCUAACGCGUUAAAUCGACCGCCUGGGGAGUACGGCCGCAAGGUUAAAACUCAAAUGAAUUGACGGGGGCCCGCACAAGCGGUGGAGCAUGUGGUUUAAUUCGAUGCAACGCGAAGAACCUUACCUGGUCUUGACAUCCACAGAACUUUCCAGAGAUGGAUUGGUGCCUUCGGGAACUGUGAGACAGGUGCUGCAUGGCUGUCGUCAGCUCGUGUUGUGAAAUGUUGGGUUAAGUCCCGCAACGAGCGCAACCCUUAUCCUUUGUUGCCAGCGGUCCGGCCGGGAACUCAAAGGAGACUGCCAGUGAUAAACUGGAGGAAGGUGGGGAUGACGUCAAGUCAUCAUGGCCCUUACGACCAGGGCUACACACGUGCUACAAUGGCAUAUACAAAGAGAAGCGACCUCGCGAGAGCAAGCGGACCUCAUAAAGUAUGUCGUAGUCCGGAUUGGAGUCUGCAACUCGACUCCAUGAAGUCGGAAUCGCUAGUAAUCGUAGAUCAGAAUGCUACGGUGAAUACGUUCCCGGGCCUUGUACACACCGCCCGUCACACCAUGGGAGUGGGUUGCAA